UCCCCGAUAGCUCAGUUGGUAGAGCGUUCGACUGUUAAUCGAAUGGUCGCAGGUUCGAGUCCUGCUCGGGGAGCCA
rnacentral:tRNA from 6 species